AGUGAACGCUGGCGGUAGGCCUAACACAUGCAAGUCGAACGGCAGCACAGUAAGAGCUUGCUCUUACGGGUGGCGAGUGGCGGACGGGUGAGGAAUACAUCGGAAUCUACUUUUUCGUGGGGGAUAACGUAGGGAAACUUACGCUAAUACCGCAUACGACCUACGGGUGAAAGCAGGGGAUCUUCGGACCUUGCGCGAUUGAAUGAGCCGAUGUCGGAUUAGCUAGUUGGCGGGGUAAAGGCCCACCAAGGCGACGAUCCGUAGCUGGUCUGAGAGGAUGAUCAGCCCCACUGGAACUGAGACACGGUCCAGACUCCUACGGGAGUCAGCAGUGGGGAAUAUUGGACAAUGGGCGCAAGCCUGCUCCAGCCAUACCGAGUGGGUGAAGAAGGCCUUCGGGUUGUAAAGCCCUUUUGUUGGGAAAGAAAAGCAGCAGGUUAAUACCCCGCUGUUCUGACGGUACCCAAAGAAUAAGCACCGGCUAACUUCGUG
rnacentral:rRNA from 1 species